rnacentral:rRNA from 2 species
CUGGUGUCAGCCGCCCCUUUAAACCAGCACCCCGAGUGGUCGGGACGAUUAUUGGGCCUAAAGCAUCCGUAGCCGGCCUUACAAGUCCCCCGUUAAAUCCAGCUGCUUAACAGAUGGGCUGCGGAGGAUACUAUAAGACUAGGAGGCAGGAGAGGCAAGCGGUACUCAGUGGGUAGGGGUAAAAUCCGUUGAGCCAUUGAAGACCACCAGUGGCGAAGGCGGCUUGCCAGAAUGCGCUCGACGGUGAGGGAUGAAAGCUGGGGGAGCAAACCGGAUUAGAUACCCGGGUAGUCCCAGCUGUAAACGAUGCAGACUCGGUGAUGGACUAGCUUUAUGCUGGUCCAGUGCCGCAGGGAAGCCGUUAAGUCUGCCGCCUGGGUAGUACGGUCGCAAGACUGAAACUUAAAG